AACGAACGCUGGCGGCAGGCCUAACACAUGCAAGUCGAGCGAGGACUUCGGUCCUAGCGGCGGACGGGUGUGUAACGCGUGGGAACGUGCCCUCUGCUUCGGAAUAGCUCUGGGAAACUGGGAGUAAUACCGGAUGAGCCCUUUGGGGGAAAGAUUUAUCGGCGCAGGAUCGGCCCGCGUUGGAUUAGGUAGUUGGUGGGGUAAUGGCCUACCACGCCGAGGAUCCACAGCUGGUUUGUGAGAAUGAUCAGCCACACUGAGACUGAGACGCGGCCGAGACUCCUACGGGAGGCAGCAGUGGGGAAUCGUAGACAAUGGCGGAAACCAUGAUCGAGCCAUGCCGCGUGAGCGAUGAAGGCCUUAGGGUUGUAAAGCUCUUUCAGCUGGGAAGAUAAUGACGGUACCAGCAGAAGAAGCCCCGGCUAACUCCGUG
rnacentral:rRNA from 1 species